CUUCUAUAAGUAGGAUUUCACCCAAGAAGUAUAAGAAGUAGAAAGCAUGUCAGUUUCGGGUGAGCAAGGGUGAUUCGCUUCUCAGACACCGAAGCAGCCUAUCGAAAAACAGAAAAGAAUAAGUUGUCAUGGAAAUGCCUUUUGAUCUCUAUUUUGACUCUAAUUAUGUAUUGAUUGUAUUGAUAAAACAGAGAACUUUUUCUAUAUGAUAAUAUAUGCUUAACCCAGCAACAUUCCUUUACGAGUAAUAGAUCCUUCCUUGUCUUUACAAGUAAUAGAUCCUUCCUUGUCUUUAUUAUUUCAAUCAAAAAGCUACAUCUGAAAGGAAAGGAAACCACGAGAGAAGGUAUAUAAUAAUUGUUGGAUAUUGUUUGAUAGUGAUAUAUUGUAUAUUAUCAUGAUCCAUCUUUCUUUCCUCCACGUAUCGAUGCGCAAAACACACAUGCUAUUUCCUUACUUCCCCCAAUCAAUGCACUAAACCAAUAAACUAAUAGAAUAUAACCCCAAUCAAUGCACUAAACCAAUAAACUAAUAGAAUAUAAUUAAGUAGAGGCACCCCCGCCCGAUGCAUGAACUAUGGUGGUCCGUCCUACUAUGAUGCACGAACGAACGACCGAACAAUGAACGCUAUGCACGAACAAUAGAUGCACGCACGAACGACCACCCGACCCGAUGCAUGUAGCGCUGUCGCCCUUAGUUUCUCCCUUUAGUAUGUGUAUGGUGUUUUCGUUUCUGCCUCGGAUAGACAUCCAGUGCGGACUCGUUUAGCCUAGCCGAUCAAUCACUUGUGAAAGAUAGAUGGAGCUCCUCUUUGCCUUGCCUUGGAGUAGGAUGGAAAAGCGGAGAAGGUAAAGCCAAAUAAUCAUUUACAUUUGAUAGAGAGGUACCUAUUGCUUUUGGUAAAGGGGAAGCUCAAUAAUAAAGUAUAGAACAUUGCCUUAUUAUUCCUAGAUGUUGGUCCCUAGGGCUAUAGUAAGUCAAUACCAAAAUAACGGUUGGGACAAUAAAAGAGUUAUGAUUUUCAAGAAAGUAAGGGAGGAGCCAAAAACGACUAUACAUUAUUGACCCCAAAGAAAGAGACUUCUUAUUGACCGGGGCACCCUAACACAUUACUAUAGUGAGUUUGAGGCACCGUUAUGAAGUUCUUUUUGACUGCCCGCAACUGGUAAUGAAUUACUACUAUAUACAUUCUUUCCCGAUAAUGAAUUACUACUAUAUACAUUCUUUCCCGAAUCUCAAUAGAGAGAAAGAAGAGGGUUCGCAGUGUACUCAUCUAAUGAGAUGCAUAGAAGAUCAAUGUAGGGGGGAGAGGGCAUAGAAUUUCCAUAGAGGGUUCGCAGUGUACUCAUCUAAUGAGAUGCAUAGAAUCCAAUUAAGGGACACAGCUAUCUACCAUUACGUGGGGCCAUUCUUUUCAAUACAGAAUUAUUGACUAACCUGCUCCGUUAAGUACAUGGAGGCGGGAAAGGCUUCAGUAAGAUGUGUUAGGUUCCAUUCCAACUAUGAGCUUAUAUCUGUGGCAUCCAAUAGAAAGAAAAGAAAACGACCCAUAUACACAUAACCUAUGAGCUUCUUGAAUAACGCUCCCUUAUCAAUGUGAAAGGCUGUGCUUGUGAUUCAGUAUAGGAGAGGUGUUUGCUACCGAUAUGUGAGUAAAGGCUUACUGUGCCGAGAUGCUAUUUCAGAUAGAAUAUUGGGUUGGGCUGCCCCUAUUCCGAGAGUCACAUAUUGGGUUCAGUUGCCUAUAGGAUAUCUUGUAGUUGAGUAAGCUCCCUAUUGCCCGUAGUCUGCUUUAGGAAGUAGGGCAGCGAGCAACAGAACAGGUCAAUGUUGGUUUCUAAGCUCAAAUGCAUUGAAAUAGAACAAGAAACUACAUAUUAGCUGAAGACUACUAAACGACAGGAAUAGCCUGCUUAACGGAAUAGCCUGCUUAACGGACCUGACUGAACUACUUGAUGAUUUCUACCUUUAGGCUCUUCUCUUAUUCAACGUUUCUACCUUUCUUUAGGAUGAGGAUUUUCUCUUCUCUUAUUCAAUGUUUAUACCUUUCUUUAGGAUUAGGAUCUUCUCUUCUCUUAUUUCUACGUCUGAAGCUAAGCAGUAGUUGUCCGUUGCAAGUCUAGAUCGCAUUCAAGAAAAGGCUUCCCAUGGCAAAAGAAAGGGUCUGAUUUGGAGAAGCUGAUAAAAGGGACGAAGUAAGCGCAUAUAUGGGGAUGCCCUAAAAUGGGUAUAGUUGUCUUUCUAUGUAUAAUUCUUUCUAUGUGCGAUAGGUGCAAAGAACCGAGACUGGAAAGGAUAGGGCAUCUCAUACAAUCCGAGACCUGACUCAAACACCGACCCCCUUUACUCUACCUUAAAGCUCUAACCACUUUUAUUCGAACAAAUGUAGAACCAGAAUGGAUGGUUUUGUGCUUAUUACCAGUUCUUCCUCCCGAGUAGAGUUUAGACCAAUCAUGGUUAUGGGUAGGUCCAAAAAGCAGUUUGGAUAUUAAUGGGGACUCUAUAGACGAGGUAUCUAUAAGAAUCAAACUAUUACCGAUCUAUUAGCAACAAGUAGAUCUACGCCAGGGGAAUUAGUAAUGUGUCAGGAGAAAUUGGUACAAGAGGCCGUGGAUACACUUCUUGAUAAUGGGAUCCGCGGACAACCAAUAAGGCAUGGUAAAGUGAAACAACCAAUAAGGCAUGGUCAUAAUCAAAGUAACAAGUCAUAUUCUUUCUUUUUAGAUGUAAUUGAAGGCCAAGAGGGAAGGAAGAUUUAGUUAGACUCUCUCUGCUUGGUAAACGUGUCGAUUAUUCGGGACGUUCCGUCAUUGUCGUGGGUCCUUCGCUUUCAUUACAUCAGUGUGGAUUACCUCGAUUAAUAGCAAUAGAGCUUUUCUUUUCCAAACAUUUGUCAUUCGUGGUCUAAUCAGACAACAUGUUGGUUGCUUCUAACAUAGGAAUUGCUUCAAGUAUCAAAUUCGGGAAAAAGAACCCAAUGUAUGGGAAAUACUUCUGGAAGUUAUGCGGGGGCAUCCUUGAUUAUAGAAUAGAGCACCCACCCAGCAAAGAUUAGGCAUACAGACGGAUCUAAUCUACGUGGCCUAUUUUUGUAGAGGGACGCGCUACUUGUUUACACUACCUAUUUAUUAGUAUGUUCGAUUGGUUUACACCAUCCAUAUCUAAGUAUGUAAGGGCGGGCCGGGUCAUAUAUAUAGUUAUGAUAGGGCAUACUUUGAUGGGGAUCAAAUGGCUGUUCAUGUACCUUUAUCUUUGGAAGCUAAAGUGACGGCUCGUUUGUUUACUUAUGUUUUCUCAUAUGAAUCUCUUGUCUCCAGCUAUUGGGGAUCCUAUUUCCGUACCAACUCAAGAUAUGCUUAUCGGACUCUAUUUAUUAACGAUACGAUCGGGAAUGGUCGAGGUAUUUGUGCAAAUAGCUGCCAUCCAUAUAGAGAUAGUUGCGGAAACUACCAAAAUCAAUAAGUUUACAAUAACGGAGGUAUACGAAAAAGAAAGAACCCUACUUCUAUAGUUCCUAUGAUGCACUUGGAGCUUAUCAACAGAAACGAAUUAGUUUAGAUAGGUCCUUUCUGAUGAUGGAGACUAGAUCAACGUGUCAUUGGCUCAAGAGAAGUUCCCAUCGAAGUUCAAUAUGAAUAUUGUGGUACCUAUAAUGAGAUUUAUGGGCACUAUUAGUAGUAAGUGUGAAUAAGGCAAUCAAGUAAGUAUAAAUAAAUAGAUUGUAAAUUGGUCAUAUUUCUUUUGAUCGAGAAAUAGAGGAAGCAAUACUGGGGUUUUGUCGAGCCUACUCAUAAGCUAUCUAAACUAGGAAAUCUUAUUAGGCGAUGUUAAGGUUAAUAGUUCAGAAUGGCAUAUACAUGACAUAUCUUGGCUUGGAUAAAGUAAAGAGGGUUUCCAACAAGCAAGCUGCAUCUAUGGAAUUAGAGGAAUUGAUGAUCUUUUGACAAUCCCUUAGAAAAGAUGCUUAGUACAAGACGCUGAACAACAAAGUGGGAUUUAGGAUAAACACCAUCAUUAUGUACCCGCGGUAUCAAAAUGACGUAAAUCCAUUGAGAUAUGGUAUGCUACAAGUGUUGAUUUGAGACAAGAAGAGAAUCCGGACUAUUACAUAUACUGCUAAUAGAGUGGUUUAUAUCAUGUCCUUUUCAGGAGCUAGAGGAAAUGCAUCUCAGAUACGAAAAUCAAAGGUAUUCAAGGAUUGAUGUCGGAUCCCCCAAAGACACAUUAUUGAUUGAUUUACCCAUGCAAAGCUAUUGUAGUCAAGCACUUUCUUUUCAUUACUUGAUAGAGGAAUAAGAAUCAUUAUGGAAUUGCCUGUUAUGGAGCCCGCAAAGGAGUUGUAGAUACUGCUGUACGAACAUCAGAUGCUUGCUUUUUUGAUACCUAACAAGUAUACAAGUUUCAGUAGUGAAACAUCUAAUUGUACGUAGAACUGAUUGUGGCACUAUACGAGGUAUUUCCGUGAGUCUUCAAAAUGGGGGAUGACAGAAAACAUUUGUGUCCAAACACUAAGGGGUCGUGUAUUAGCAGACGAUAUCAUUCAUUUAGAUAGCUAGAGGUCUAUGAUGCCUUGCCACUCGAUAUCAAGAUAUGGGGAUUGAACUUGCCACUAGUUUAUAUGGGUCUAUGAUGCCUUGCUACUCGAUAUUCAUUUAUGGGGAUGGGAUUGAACUUGUAAAUUGCCUUUCAAGCACAACUAUUGGGAUUGAACUUGUAAAUCGAUUCAUUACCUUUCGAUCACAACUAAUACAUAUAUGAUAACACCUAUAUUAGAACCGUGACUUGUACAUAUAUGAUAACACCUAUAUUAGAACCUUGACCACCCCCUUGACUUGUACAUAUAUAUAUAUAUGAGAACACCCUUGAUACAUAUAUGAGAACACCCUUUACUUGCAGGAGUACAUCUUGGAUCUGCCAAUUAUGUUAUGGUCGGAGUCCUACUCAUGGCGACCAGGGCUUCAACCCGAGCAUACAAGAAUGAAAGAAAGGCUUAAAUGUCGAGCAUAGGGUUUUGAAGGCAGUAGCUUCAGAAUUGAAGUAAUAGGUCUAAGGCGGAUCCCCCCCAGCACAGUUUCCGGCUAAGAGUCAAGAGUGGCAGGCCCAAACUAAUAAGCAAGAAUACAACGUAAGUUUUCAAGUAAGCAGUGGAACAUCAAUUCUGUAUUGAUUCUUAUAACAUGCACCGCUACGCUACUCCAGCAACUGAGUGAACUGUCAGCCAGUUGUAGUAGUCUCCUUAUUCUGAGUUUCGAUUUGGAUUCUAAUAGCCCUACCUCGAUCCUGGAUCUUAUGUUUCGUUGUUCAAUACUGAGUUAAUUAGUUGUAAUCUGAUAGUAGUGAUUGCAUUCCACAUUCCUGGUUCUAAUAAGUAGCGCUAAGCUUGAGCGUUGAGUUGAAUUCCCGAGUGACCUGUUCGAUUCUUAUGCGGUUGCCCGGUUUUUCAUUCUCCAAAUAGUAGUUGAUAGCCAGGAAAGCCAUACUUCAAGUAAGGACACUGGGGGUCAAAAUCAUAAUCGAAAGUAAGCCUUACACUAGCAAGCAAAACUCUAAGCAUGAGUUGGUAGCUAGGAGCCAGGAGCGGUGGACUCACUUCUCGGGGAGCGAGGACAGACUCAAUGAAAAGCAGUAUAGUGGUAGGUUUGAGACAAGAGCCAAACACUUAGUUACAGGAAAAGGAGACUGAGAGACAGUUGCCUGGUGACUCAAACUAGGGAAUGGAUGCCCGGAGCCCAAGAGUUCAAAACAGGAGAGGCAUACUUCAACUGGAGAUAGGGGCAGUAAAAGAGUCAAACUAACAACUCCACUAAUAAGUCAAAGAAGCAAACUACUACUUGUGAGAAUCCAACAGGGGAUAAAAGAUACCGGGCCAAGGAGACCCGUCUAAGAAAACUCAUACUAAUACAAUACCUGGAAAGCAAGAGCCCUCGGACGCAGAAUCAGAACUAGACCCGACCCAGUAGUAAAAGACCAAGCCUUACACCUUACCAUAAGGAACAAGCCCCGCGAAAUAGCUUCCAAGCGGAUUCCGCGAGCCCUACUCUUUGAUUGAAUCCUUAUUGCCUUCCCGAAGGUCUGGUCUCUUCCCGAGUUGUAUGGACACCCUUAUGAGAUAGUAAGAGCAGCUAUUGUGCCCGCCUACCGAGUUGUGAGAUAAGGUCUUGUCGGGUACUAGCCCAUUCUGGUUAACAGUAGUCCGAGCCUUAGAGAUGGUAUACGAGCUAGGUCAUUAUCAGACUUGGAGUACAAAUAUGAUGUCUGGAUCUGAUCUAGGUAAUUCAAAGACUUAUUUAGUAGUUUGCCUCCUCGCCCACUUUCAAACCGCCGUUAGCUACAGCCUUAUUGUCUUCCUCGCUGUCCAAAACAAGUAACAAAUAGCCUAGCCGCCACUACUAUAGAAGGCUUCACCAGAACUCCUGAUAAGACCAAACCUAAUGGAUAUGGAACCCUAAUAGAUAUGGCCCCCGACAACUAGGACUUGGACUCGUAUCGUCAGAAUCCAGCUCUAAAGUAAGGAAUUACAGAAAGGAAAAGGAGAACUUAACGAUGAAACACUGCUCUAAAGAAUCUAGUUUUAGCUAACCCUCCCUUUGAAGUAACUAAUUGAACUUACCCAUAUCCUUACUGCCCUAUAGCCUGAGACUAGUCUUAUACUGUGCUACAUCGUACCUGUCUGUAUUCUCUAUUCUUUUAUUUAGUCUAGUGGUUAGUUGUUUGAUUCCCUCCCUUUGAAGUUGCACCAGCGAAUGUGCGUGUAUUGGAAAAGAGAAGAUGCCAUAGAAAGAAAUUGUCUAAGUAAUAGGAGUCAUUAUAAGUUGUCAUUUCGCGAGUCAAGGGAGCAAAUCGGAGCAUACAAGACACCAGCCCAAGGAUCAGAGCAAUGCAAGACAGAGCGAUACCAAUAAAAUAAUAGGAGAUACCAUAGGAAUAGAAUAGGGUAGAGGUAAUAGGAAGUUAGGAGCCGACUAUCGACUAGAAUAAGAUAGGAGCUAACUAGAAUAAGGUGGGAGCCCCGACAAGUAACGGGAAGGCCGGUCGAACACAUGGCCUUUUCUCAAAUUAGAGAAUGACGUAACGCAUGGGAAAUAAAGAAGAAGUUGUAAGCGUAUCAGAUGGAAAUCAAUAGAAGUUGUGUCGAUGUUGCAAGCCCUAUGGCCUCCGGUCGACAAGAAUAGGUGGGCACCAUUAGUGAUAGAGAAUGACUUUAGUGGUGGAGCACCUUGAAUCAUCAUACCGAAAUCGUAUUUCCUUUGAUCUCAUCUAUAAACCAAUUCGGUUCCUUAGCCCAGUCCUGGGUGAGACAGCACUCUAAAUCAAUUACUUUCGCUCGGAUUACUUGUUGUACAGCUAACCUAACCUAACAUAUAGCCAACCUAACCUAACAUAUGAUGCUAUGACCCCUGGAGACUUAGUUAAUGACCAAUCAAAGAACCUACCUUUGAAGUCAAUUGUAGCUAACCCCACCUUUGAAGUUGACCCUCGAUCCAAGCAAUGCAAUAUAGUAGGUUAGUGUUUCGUGCCGUAUUCUUACGGGGUUGAUCUGAUCCCCUGCCCACAGAGCUAAUUCCUCUAGUAAGUAGUAGCACAAAUUCUCUAUGUCAAGCUGGCUUCCGUAUCCAUUGGUUCAUUCAUUCCCUGGGGAAAUAUUCUUUGACUUACUCAGUUGCUUGCCCGAGUUCCAUUAUUUGAGUUAGUUGCAGGGAUGCGAUACAGCGUACCCUCUGUUCGAAAGUCAAUAAGCAAUUUCAGAAUUCUAUAAAUGGCAGGCCCAGAGACAUGAUAGUCAGAAUGCAAGC
rnacentral:lncRNA from 1 species